ACCGGAUAAGCCCUUACGGGGAAAGAUUUAUCGCCGAAAGAUCGGCCCGCGUCUGAUUAGCUAGUUGGUGAGGUAAUGGCUCACCAAGGCGACGAUCAGUAGCUGGUCUGAGAGGAUGAUCAGCCACAUUGGGACUGAGACACGGCCCAAACUCCUACGGGAGGCAGCAGUGGGGAAUAUUGGACAAUGGGCGCAAGCCUGAUCCAGCCAUGCCGCGUGAGUGAUGAAGGCCCUAGGGUUGUAAAGCUCUUUUGUGCGGGAAGAUAAUGACGGUACCGCAAGAAUAAGCCCCGGCUAACUUCGUGCCAGCAGCCGCGGUAAUACGAAGGGGGCUAGCGUUGCUCGGAAUCACUGGGCGUAAAGGGUGCGUAGGCGGGUCUUUAAGUCAGGGGUGAAAUCCUGGAGCUCAACUCCAGAACUGCCUUUGAUACUGAAGAUCUUGAGUUCGGGAGAGGUGAGUGGAACUGCGAGUGU
rnacentral:rRNA from 1 species